AUCGCUUCUCGGCCUUUUGGUUAAGAUCAAGUGCAG
rnacentral:snRNA from 1 species